UGGAACAUGUGGAACAUGUGGAACAAGUUGAACAAGUGGAACAAGUUGAACAUGUGGAACAUAUGGAACAUGUGGAACAAGUUGAACAUGUGGAACAUGUGGAACAAGUUGAACAUAUGGAACAUGUUCCACAUGUUGAACAUGUGGAACAAGUUGAACAUAUGGAACAUGUUCCACAUGUUGAACAUGUGGAACAAGUUGAACAUGUGGAAAAUGUUGAACAUGUGGAACAAGUUGAACAUGUGGAACAUGUGGAACAUGUUGAACAAAUGGAACAUGUGGAACUAGCGACUCUUCCUGUUGUCCUUGUGCACUUUGCUCUCAACUCUACAUCAUUUGUUUCAAGUGCAACAAUCUCUCCACAUUCAUCAGGAUGUUUUCCACCCAGUCUUUUAGGGACACGGUGGUGGUUCUCUGCAGGGUGGAUGUUGAGAUGGAAGUAGCCUAGCAGCUAGCUUAGCAUAGCGGUGCUUUGAGUGUUCUGUUUGACCCGUGGAGGAAUUCCUCUGCUCAGUUCCGUCUCGCUCUCCAUCUAUCUGACUGCAGGGUGGUGGCUUCAGGGGUCAAGGGUCAACGCACACCAGAAGGAAACAAAGCUGCAUUUAAAUAUGGUUGAAUGCACUUAUUGUACGUCGCUUUGGAUAAAAGCGUCAGCUAAAUGACAUGUAAUGUAAUGUAAUGUAAUGUAAAAUAUUUUAUCCCGUUAAUCACAGCCACAAUAAUCUCAUAGAUUAAUACGUUGACAGCCUUAAUAAAAAGCUUUUCUUUAAACAGAUUUUAGAUAAAAAAACGAUAUGUUGAUAUAUUUCACCUGCAGGAGCAGCUCGGGUCAGACUCACUACCGUGUUUGGAAACGGACCCUAAUGGACACAAUUAUUAUUCAAACUUCUCUUUACUCACAAAAACAUGAAAUUGAUCAUUUUAUCCGUUUAGUUGUAAAUAUGAUAAAGAAUCCGCAUUUAUGUUUAAUGGCUUUACUUCAUAUCCAGAACCUCACACAACGUCGACAUGUCGACUUUAUUCUGUUUCUGGAUCUCAUAUCAUCAAUCACACAGAUUCAAAGUCCCUGCAGGAAGUAUUAGUACUUGGUCUGGUCUGGAUGAGCGGCGUGUCUGCGUGGAUGCUGGGGCCACAUUUGGGCUUCAGGGUGAGAACUUUCACUUCCUGUGGCGUGGGAGGAAACCAGCGAGCGCCGUGAGAGCUUCAAGCCGCUUAACGUCCGUCUUUAUAUAUUUACACUGUGGAUCUUUUAUGGCGCACAAUACUCAAAAGUACUUAAAUAACUUUUCUCAGAACAUAUACUAAACUUUAUUAUUGUUUUGAAAUAGGUUAUUACGAGAUACUGUACUAUAUUCAUACUGUCUUUGUAUUACAAUAUUUAUCUAUUAAUACUUGCUGCUAUAUACGAGUUAUUAAUGACAUACGUUUAUAAAACAUUUGUGACAUACUACGGCUUCAAAGUGUUUGUAUUAAAAUACAUUACGGAGGCUUCAAAGAUUCUCUGAGAUGCGGCUGAUUUUUAGUCCUUCAUGAGUACUUUAUGACUCAUGAAGGACUAUUUGACUAACAACAAGAAGCACGAACCACGUCCCCAUGAAAGUUCAAUCAACGGGUCUCUAAAAGCACAAAAACAUCAUUUUGUACAAAUGACUUUAAAAGAUCCACUUUAUUUAUCAAACAGCCGGAAGCUCAAAUCGCUUUAGAUGAACGUUGUUAUCAUUACAAAUGAAGCUGUGCUGUGUGACGCUUGAGGGCCUGGUCUCCACCUGGUCUUCAGGGUGGUGUGAUAACGUCCUGCUGUAGGUGGGACUACGCUGUGAGCCGACCUCGGCCCGCUCACAGCGCGUAGAAGAGGAAAAAGCAGCGGUCCUCAUCGGAAGGCCGGCGCUGGAUGCUGUCUGGGAUCAAAUCUGCCCCCAUAAUCUUCUUCACCAUGAUGCUGAUGCUGGUGCCGCUGUGCAGUUGCACCUUCUCCAGGACGACGUACUUUCCGUCCUGGUGGUUCCUCUUCUGGAUUGUUCUGCUGUCGUCACCGUGGGUCUGCGUGAGCACCAGCUCUCCUUCCAAGUUGCUCUCUAUCUCUCCGUAAAUGAAGUAGUGAGCAGUCCGAUUGAUGGUGAAGACCAGGUAUCGCUGCUCCGGGUUCAUCUCUGUGGGACACAAAGGUUCUCCAUGAGGAGCCAACAUCUCAAAGGGAGAGCAGGAAGCCAUGAAAUACAGGUGAUGCUCACUUCUCUGAGUGCAGGUUACGUUGAAUUUCACCUGAGCAUCUGAUGGACUUGAACCCUGCAGACAGACAGACAGGUAGAUCAUGGAGACACGGUGCAGACAGACAGGUAGAUUGUAGAGACACGGUGCAGACAGACAGGUAGAUCAUGGAGACACGGAGCAGACAGACAGAUACCACACAGAGGACAUGAACCAAUGAGGCGUUGCUCACCUGGCUGCAUGAAGGGGUGGACAUGAACAAAUGCAGCAUGAAGGCCGUCCCCAGAGCCACCAUGACCCCCCCCAUCACUGAUGCCGAGGCAGCCGCACAUUUGAAGCCGCCACGGCGGUCUGCAGGAGAGUCUCCGGGUGGGUUCUCGACCAUCACCAGGGCGUCCCUCUGUCCUACCUGAUGUCCCUCCAUGGUGCAUUCUGUAAAGCUUGUUAUGCACAUUAUGUCCUUAAUAUAGUCCAUCUUCCCACACACCGGGACACGGAGUGGGAAUCCCAAGCUCACCUAAGCCCCGCCCCCCCACACAAUAGAAAGCAAAUAGAGAGCAGAGGGAAUCCCUCGACGCCCACGCGUCCCAUAACCUCUGGAUGGAAGUCGCUUAACGAUUCAAACAAUAAAGUAACGAGUCAUGAAGAAGAGUUCACGAGGGGUUAUGAACCAUUCAGUCCCCCCUUCCCUCUCCAGGAGAGGAUCCUGGGAGCUGGAAUGACCCAACAUGCUCCAAACACUUCCAACACGCUCCCAACAUACUCAAACACGCUCCCAACAUGCUCCCUGAAGAUGCUUUCACCCGAUCGUGUAACCUGUUUUAUUAGAUGAAAUAGUCCUUAUCUCACCUCCCUCUCUUCCAUUAAGCCGCAAACUCCUCCCCCAGAGAAACUGCUGCUGUUGCAUCACUGCCCCCCCUCCUCCACCACCCCCUCCCCCAAGCUCUUGCAUCAUCAUUGCUUUCCCAUGUCUGAUCUCGGCUCACAAUGUGGGGUUAUCUCAUCCAUGUGUGGGUGUGGGUUUGUCUCUGUGUGUGUGUGUGUGUGUGUGUGUGUGUGCGUGUGUGUGUGAUCACCUCCUUAUCAGUGAACUCACUCUGGAGUUUCAUUAGAAAACGAAACCUUUGUGAAGUUGCAGGUUUCAGUAAUAAAGGAAACAAACUCAGACGGUGACGGACGACGUGUUUUAUUCUGCGAGUCGCGUCCUUCAGUUGUUACGACGCACAGCUUUUAUAUUCACACUCAUGUAACACUGGACAUUUAAAGUGAAAUAGAACAAUAGAGUUCAACACAAACACACUAACUGCCGAUGACACAACACACACACAGACACACACACACGCACACACACACACACAGGUCCCACGUGUGUUUGUAGCUUUGAUGCCCUUUGCUCUCCAGAGUAGAAACCUGCUUUAUGAGAGCAGCAGUUUCACCACAGGCUGGAGUCUGGAUGAGACCUCAUGGGGCCACAGGGUCCUCAUCUGUGAGCACGAAGACACAAAUAACCACCAGCAUAUGAAUCAUAAAUGCUGUUUAUUAAGUUAUGAAUGUCACCGGGCAUCGUUUGACCCUCUACGGAAGCUGUGACACCAGACGAUUGAAGGUGUGAAUCACACAUGUGUUUCGCCUGGUGUCUCCAUGUCUUAUAGCACGGAUUGCGCUCUUAAUGAUCUGAUUUCAGCCGAGUCUCAAAGUUUGAAGGUUUUUUUGUGUGUUAUAUUGAUUUAUUUCGUCACCAUAACAUGUAAACUGAUUGUUACGCAUUAGAACACUUACAGGUUCCCCUUCAUCCUACAGGAGAUGAGAUGAUGGAGCAUCUGGGGCCAUUUUCAGAGCAGAGGCCAAAAAACGUAUAGUAGCAUCAUUUAUAGUUAGAUUGUAUUUUGUAAUAAAUGUAAUAGAAAGUUAGAGAAUUGUACAUUUCAAGGCAUUAAAAUGUCUGAAUAUAAUGAUCAAAAUGUAGUUUGUUGAAAACGUCAUAGAAUAGAUCAUGAAGGUAUUGAAAAAUAUCACAAUAAUCCCAGUAAGUUAGUAAGUGAGUGAAUUAUUUUUAUGCACACGUUUAUGCACACACAUGUUCAACGACAUAUGCACACAUGUUCAACGACACAUGCACACAUGUUCAAUGACAUAUGCACACGCGUUCAACGACAUAUGCACACAUGUUUCAUAACAUGCAUAAAUGACAUUUUUUAUUCAUGAGGCAACACGUAAAUAAUGAUGAUGAAAAGUCUUUUCAUGGAAUUAGAAGAUGGCGGUUUAUGUCACUUAGACAUGUUCGAUGAGGAUUACAGAAGUUAUUGUUUUAUUAUGAAGAUGCUUCUUUAAAUGAGAAACUUCUGCUCUAAACAUGAUGAGUCAUUUGUUAAUAGAAGGGAAAUAAUAAAUUAAGCAAAUCAAAAGUUCAGCUCAACACAUAAAAUUGCACUUUCUUGUUUCUUGUUCUUUGACGUCGUAUCCCCCCCCCCCCCCUAAAACAGCUGGCAGCGGCUGCCCAGCAGGUAGCUCAGGGCCACCGUCAUGUUCUUCACCUUGAAGCCGGCAGUGGAGUUGAGACGGAGGCGGAGCCUCUCCUUGUUCCGCAGGUAGGCGGUGCUGUGGAGCCCCCUGCAGACCUCCACGGAGGCCCGCAGGGGGAAGGAGCUGGCGGGGGCCUCCCGGCCCUGCACCCACAGCUCCAGUGUCCCCAGGGCCCCCCCCUGGUCCCGGUCCUUGUAGCACAGGUACAGGUACAACACGUAGGGGCCCGUGCAGUUCACCUGGAUCUGGUCCUUCUCCUCGGGGACCAGGCUCAUCAUGUGACUGCUGUAGACCCCCCCGAACGGCACCCACACCUCGCCCGAGAAGUCUGCAGGGGACGAGGGAGCUUAUUGAUCACAUCUUAGGCUUAUUGAUGCGAUCAGUCCUCACCUGAGACGGGGUUCAAGCGGAUGUGCACGUUGUCCUGCGCUUCUCUCGCUGUCCGACCCUAAAGGUGCACAGGUAAACAAACAUUUACAUUCUCUGUUUCCUCUUUGGGAAAUAUAUAUAUAAGUAUAUAAAUAUAAUGUUCAGGCUGAUCUCAUAAAGCAGCUACAUAUCAUAAUGUAUAUGAAAUAUACAAUACUUCAUGUACAACUAAUAUAAUAUAGAAUAAUACUGUUGGCACUUCAAACACGUCAAAUGAAGGAAGGUUGAGCGCAAAGAAAAGACGUAGUUCAACAUGAUCACACGUGUGCGGUUUGUGUUUAACAAUUAAACAAAUGUCUAAAAAAACAGGCUCUCAUUACUUGUAAAAUUUGUCUUUGGCAGAAAAAAAACAUUCAUUAAUCACCAUUAAUCACAUAUUUCAAAAUGUGCAAUGAAUUAGUAAUAAAAUAUUGUACAAUAAAUAAAGUAGGAUAAAAUAUCUACAGGUGAACGCUCACCUGGACGUCCCAGCACACGUAGAGCGCCACCAGCAGGCACGUGGUCACCACCGCGGUCUGCACUGCCACGACCAGCGCCAGAUGUCUCGUGCGCUUCGUCUGGUGCAGCCCGCGACCUCCGUCAGCCUCCAUCCUCCUCUGAGCACACAGAGCGCGAGGGACUCUUUAAAGCGCCAGGGAGGGGGGCUGAGAUCUUCUAGCGUGUGAGGGGGAAGAGACAGUUUGUUGUUCAUGCUCUGUGUCUGAGGUGAAACACCUACUUAGCCUGACCCUAACCGGUGCCGGCUAUAACCUGGUGGAAUAAGAGCCUCUGGUGGGGGGGUCCUGAGUUUCCCUUCUGUGGGUGAAGCACAAAGAUGAAGAGCCUCAGAAGUAAAUGUCAAGUGAUGACGACCUGCCACGUGGGAGGGGAAACCCCCCCUGACCAAAGGCCCAGACACCAGCUCACCGCUGAGAGAUACUGGGGGGCUCAAUGUCAACUGAUCAGCAGAGGACUUAGCUGAUGAGCUAGCUGAUCAGCUAGCAGAGGACUUAGCGGAUGAGCUAGCAGAGGACUUAGCCUGAUGAGCUAGCAGAUGAGCUAGCAGAGGACUUAGCCUGCUGAGCUAGCUGAUGAGCUAGCAGAGGACUUAGCCUGCUGAGCUAGCUGAUGAGCUAGCAGAGGACUUGGCUGCUGAGCUAGCUGAUGAGCUAGCAGAGGACUUAGCCUGCUGAGCUAGCUGAUGAGCUAGCAGAGGACUUGGCUGCUGAGCUAGCUGAUAAGCUAGCAGAGGACUUGGCUGCUGAGCUAGCUGAUAAGCUAGCAGAGGACUUGGCUGCUGAGCUAGCUGAUAAGCUAGCAGAGGACUUGGCUGAUGAGCUAGCUGA
ensembl:lncRNA